AUGGGCCAACGAGGAUUUCGGAGGAUUCUGGGCCUCGCGAGUCGAACCGAGUGGCCGCGGCUCGACCGCUCGUUCCGUGCGCAUCGCCGCAUCCUACGGCCCACGAGAGUCAGGUGCUUUUUGUCGGGUUCCUCUCUGUCCCUCCCCGCAACACUCCACCGCCGCCGCUCUCCCCAGAACCCACCCUUCACGAAAUCCAUCUCUGAAUCCAUCCGAACAGCCUCAAACGCAGUCGCGUGCGCGAAGCCGGAUGGAUUCGAGCAGCUACGUGUGCCGGAUCCACCCGUCUCACUUCUUCAUGUGGAGCUCCGCUGCCUGGAUGCCUUCCCGACGCCGGCGAGCCCUGCGCCGCCGCCCCUCGCGCCCCUCCAAGUGCGACACCGUCCGGAGCUCCUACGCCACCUACGAAGGAGGAAGAAGGGAGGAGUGGUCGCCGUGAGGUUGGGGCAUGGCUGCAGUGGCUGGGAGAGGAGGAAGCACGAGUUUGAAUCUAGCUGGAGCAGCCAGAGAAGAAGGAAGCACAGACGCAGAAGGGGGGAAGGGACCUUGUCGUCGAUCUGGAGCAAGACGAAGACGAUGGCGGGCAGGGGAAUUUGCCGCUGCUGCUUGGAUUGCUUAUUGUGCGGCCGCUGCUUGCGUUCGUUUGUGGGAAUUUAG
rnacentral:rRNA from 1 species